ACGUACUCCUCCUAGAGCAUUCAUCAGAUCGGCAUCACGUUCGGUCAGUCUCAUCUACAGGCAUUGACGAUGCCAAAUUGCGAAGCUUUUGAAUUUUUGCUGCUCGCCGUGGGCGUGGCGCACUCACAAAUUUAGAAGUUUCACCAUGAAAAAGGAAGUUGUUAUAACUCAAACAUAGAAUGUCCAAUCUAGGGAUGUCACGAUACCAAAAAUCUAGUAGUCGGUACCAGCAAAAAUACACGAUACUCGAUACCACUUUGUGUAUAAAUAAAUAAUACUUUUAACUCCUUUAUUUAAACACGAGCAUUAUAAAAAACAAUAGUGGCAACAGUCACAUAAUAUAAAAAAAAGCAAUUACAAAAUAGAUAUAUAAUAAAUAUGUAGGCAUAAAAUGUUUUUUCUUCAAGAUGUUCUGAAAUGAGGUCUGGUUUCGGUGUAUAGUUUGGGGAUCUCUGUAUACAUGAAGUAAUUUUUGCCUGGUACCUGGGGUUGAACCACUGAAGCAGAGAGAGAGAGGGGGUAGGUGGAGCAAUUUCAUUUUAGCCCAGAACCUUUAGCUUGCCUUUGCCAGGAGGUUCAGACUUGGCUUUCAACAAGAUAAAGAGCCAAGCAUACUUCCAAAUGAACACCAAAAUGCUUCAAGAAACUCAAAAUCAGUGUUUUACAGUGAGCUUAAAAUGUCCUCCAUGGUGGCAUGGACCAGGACCCCUCGGUCUGCAGCAUACAGGAAGAUUUCAGGUUAGACAUUAUGGGAAGAGUCUCGGUGCUGUUAUUGUCUCUGGGGCAGACAUCAGUUAACAUUGUGACCCCUUCCCUGGAGAGAACAGCAUUACAAUUCUGAAAACAGUUUUUGUAAAUAAUAAUUCACUACUUAAAGCAUGUACCCGAGCUCCUGCUACACAGUAACUAAAACUGUCUGCAACUCACGUGUUACUUCAUUCUUUAGUUCCUUUUCUUAAGUGUAGAGCCUCUGUCAGAUUGUGUGAUUGAUAAAGAAAAGCACAUAAAUGACAAAAUACCAGUUUGAGUGCCUAGUGGUCUAAUGAGGAAAUCCUCUUUGGAAGCUCAAUAUAUGCACUUAUCCAUUUGCAUUUUGAUUUGGCUGUUAGUGCUGAGGAUGUCCUUAAGGUGAUGUGCUGCUUUUGUCAGAUUUAGUAAUUCUCUUUAGUCACAUGAGCACUAAUGGUUUUUCUAAAUUUGUAUGUUGUUUAUUUUGGAUACAGGCAGAGGAAGCUCAGCGAAAGCUUAAGAGACAGAAUGGAGAGGACCCAGGUAAGCUAUUUCUUCAGUGAUUAUAGUCAUAUCUGAAAAUGAUUGGUCAGUUGAAUGCAGAUUGCUGAAGUGUGAGUGUCUGUGUGUGUCGUAGCCCUGCCUCCAUUUUGCCCACUGUUUGCCAGCUUGGUAAACAUUCUGCAGUGUGACGUGAUGCUUGGCAUGCUGGGAGCUGUGCUGCAGUGGGCUAUGGAGCCCAGUGGAGGACACUGGUCUGAGUCCAUGCUGCAGAGGAUAAAUGUUUGGAUGUUUUGUUAAAAUGACAUGAUAGUGUAGUAAAUUCAACAAAAUUCCACUUGCUAUGCUGUGUUCAUGAGCAUCACUUUUUAAUGACUGAGUAGUGUUCACAAUUCUGUAUGUGUGUGUUGCUACAGGUGCUGCACUUGAUAGGCAUGGCUCUGCUGGAGGAGCAGCAACAGCUAGAGAACAUUGGGGAUGACGAUGAAGUUACUUUCAACUUCACCCUCAAAAUCUCCCGUCCCGGUGAAGCCCCCGGCAACACUCCAAGCAUCCUGGCUCUGUUAGAGACCUUGCAGUGCACGCCUCACUUGGAAGUGCACAAAGACAUGAUUCGCUGGAUCCUUAAAGUAAAAUUACAUCUUGAUUAUGUUUGCAAUUUGCCUUACUCUCUCUAUGCGUGCACCUAAAAUGUCCACCAGGUGGCAGCCUAGCAUGUUUUGCAAUUCGCUCACUGAAGGUAGGCGCAACAUACAAAAGAUGAGCGUUUUUACCAUGAAGUUUAAAGCAGUGCUGCACCAUCAAGACCUGUUUGAAAUCCAAGCAGUGCAACACUGCUCAAGGUGGCGUGGCCGGUAGGCAAAGCAGCACCUCUCACCACAAAUGCUUUACUGUCACAAAGCGGUUUUGCUGCUGAUCAUCUGUAGGUGGCCCUAGGGGUGUUUUGAUGUGGCUUAUUGUGCGUAUUACUUAAAAGCUGUAUGUCAACAUGAAUAUUUAAAUGACAUGUAAGGAUUGCUUACUACACAAACUGAAUUUCCAUGCACUGUGAUGUAUGCAUUUUAUUUUCCAUAUAGUGAAAACUGUCAGGAGACCUGCACCAGGCAGAACAUGUACAUAUAAAGGCCAUGGUGUAGGCCAAGGCUAAUGAUGUAUUGUUGUAUGUACUUUGAAGAGAAACAGGCAAAUUAAAUGUUAGUAAAAUUGUAAUGCAUCUUCGGUAUUUAAUGGUAUGGUGUGUGUAUAUACUUUUUAGUGCACAAAUGUGUUCUAUUGAACAUCUGCUUAGUUUUGCAAGACUUUGUGUGUGCAUGUAGUUCUAACUGCACUGCUGUAUCGUUUUCUUGUAGAAGUAUUUUCCUAAAUUAUGUAUCUUUUUCUACACAGAUGGUGGUUAGCAUUAAAACGAUGCGUGAGGGCACAGCUGCUGCACCUCCAUGUGAAGGAACAGGGCACUGUCACAAGGAGACUGUGUGGGACAAAGACAAAGCAGAGAGAAAAAGGAAAGCUGAACUGUGCUGGAAAAAGACCAUGGCUCAAACAUUAGAGAGCCAGAGUCAUUUUAUCAAUAAGUACAUAGAUCUGCUCACGCAGGAUUCAGAGGAUCUGGACGCCUCAGCCUCUACAUCAGCAGAGCAUAGCCCCAGUUCAUGUGACGGUGCUCUGGUGUGUGUGGGACCUCGUCGUUGGCGUGCCAGAGGAGGAGAGAGGAGGCAGAUGGAGAUGUGUAUCCUGUGUCACGAAGCGCAGGAGAUCCUACCUGAUGGCACCGCCAUGGUGCUCGCUGCCUUUGUCCAACGCUCUACGGUCAUGUCCAAGAUCCGCAAAAGACCUCACAAUCCAGGUAAGGUUAUGGUUUACAGUGUGCAAGUCAAGUAAUUGGAUAGGUUUGAGUAGCCAGUGUGCUUAUUUCUGGAGGAUACAUGUGUGUUCCAGAGAGCUAUGAUCCCCUCUUCAUGCACCCUGACCUGUCCUUUGGUACCCAUACCGGCAGCUGUGGCCACAUCAUGCACUCUCACUGCUGGCAGAGGUCUUUGAAUAUCAAUGAUGCAGACAGGGAGGAGAAAUAUAACAGGUAUUUACAUACCAGUCAGUAUGUGUGUGUAUGUGUGUGUGUGUGUGUAUGUGUGUAUAUGUGUGUAUAUGUGUGUGUGUCUCUGCACCACUUAACUCCUGUCUCCCAUUUUUACUGCAUUUGUAAAACUGGAGACACCGCAGGGGGAAGCCACUCAAACCCUCUAGUGUGUGAAUCUCCCAGAGCUUACACAUUCAAACUGAAACUACACAAGCACUACAAACGUGUGUGUGUGUUUGUAUUUGUGUAACAAAUACAGUAACAGUAAACCGUUUUUGUGUUGAUCUUGAUGUAUGUUUUGGAUCAUUGUCCUGCUGGAAGAUCCAACCACGGCCAAUUUGAAGCUUUCUGUCAGAGGCAGUCAGGUUUUCAUUUAAUAUCUGUUGAUAUUUGAUAGUCCAUUACGCCAUGUAUCCUUUCUCUGUACCGUCACUUUGGGGUGGUAGUUACAUCCAUCGACUUGGAUAAGCAAGUUACAAGCCAUCGAUAAGGGAAACCUGAGAUCAAGAUACAUCUCAGGUUUUAUUUAUUUAUUUUCAUUUAUUUAUUUAUUUAUUUUUUUAAGAACUCACUUUUUACAUUCCUUCUGAUAAGUCGCCUAAAUGCAUUCUUAAGUUCAUUCUGCUUAAGGCACUCCACAAAAGCUUAGUGGAGUAGUACUCCAGCUACCCAGGAGUAGUUGAUUAAAAAUAGUCGAGAGUAUUUGUUUAUAAAACUAAUUGUUGAAGCCCUAAAGAGAGCAGUGUUCCUGUGGACCUCAGGGGAAGCAGUAAGGAGCUCUGUUCAUUUGUGAACUUUAAGAAAAGUAACCUGGGUGAAGCUCUUCAUGAAUUUGGGAGAUGUUGAGUAUGUGCAAAAAAUUUAAAUAUAACAUUUAAAAAGUUUAAGAUUUCACAGCAUAUUUAUGUGUGUGUUAUUUCAGUAUUAAUGUUCUUAUUAUUAUUUUAAAACUUUUUUUUUUAAAAAAAAACAAACACAUGUGCCAGGGUGUACAAACGUUUUGUUUUUUUUUUCUUUCCUGGUUGCAUAUUUAAAAUUCUUACUUGAACCGGUACAUCUAUACGAUAUAUUUUCGUCAUGUGUGUGCUUGUGUGUGUAUUUGCACAUGUAUGUGCACGUGUGUGUUUUCCUACUAUAGGUGUUUAAGGACUCUUUGAUCCACCAGAGAACGGGUGAUAAGAAGAACCCAUUUCGGUACUUCUCUAAGCAGGAUCUGAAGGAGCUUUUCACACUGGAGGACACGUACUCGUCCUCCACUCGGCUGCAGCUACAGUCACUCCACUCGUCUGCGUGCCGCUCCGACCCUGAGCUGCAGUGCCACAUCUCCUCUCUGAAGGGCAUGAAUGUGUUUGGCGUGUCCCGUCAUGACUUGCUGUUCUCUAAUGAGGAUACUCUGCAGGACGAGGACAAAUAUGGUCACAAUUUGGCCCAUAUCUGUUCAGCGGUGCCAUAUCUAGGCCAUAUGUGACGGAUAAUACCCACAUGUGGCCCAAACGUACUUGCUAUUUGGGAUGUCUGGUUGGGGUGUGAAAAUUUUAGAUGCUGGAUUGACAGUUAUAUUAUUAAAUAACAAUAUGAACAGCAAGAUUAUUAAUUGGAGUAGCAUAAGUAAUGAAAAUAGCAAAUGUUAAUAUUCAUAAAUACAGGUAAUGGGAUUUAGUGUUAAUAGUGCAAGAGUAAGUGUAAAUAUGAAUCUGAAACAGAUGUGGCUGUUCAUCGCUUUAAUUGAAGAAAAAGUCAAAAAAAUUUUAGCCAUGUUGCAUAACGUACAUAAAGGGCAAGCAGGCGGAGCUUGUGUCCCCAAACAUGAUCAUUGCUUGCUUUGAUGUACAGAACUGCUCAUAUGGCAUAGAGCAUGCACCAUACAGCAUUCCUCAAAUCUAGGCCUAAUUCUAAACCACUUUAGCUGGAAGACCCACCCACACACUGUGUGUGUCAGUGACUGUGUCUGUAUGGUUGGAUGAUGAUGCAGGUGUGUGUGUGUGUGUCAGUGACUCAGGUGU